rnacentral:other from 1 species
GAACCCCUACCGUGUACGUGAUGCGGUAACUUUUUUUGAGCCAACACGCACAGAACGGGGGUCCUUCCGAGAACGUGGUGAGCAUGCCUGUCCGCUCAACGGAUUGGAAGCCUGAAACGUUCGCGGGAUCCCCACCUGGUUUUCCAGGUUCAAAACAAGGCCCGGCACACGGCACAAUGGUAGGGGUUCC